UCUCGGCUACCGUACACUUCCGCUUCAGUGAGCAGGUAGCUUCAGGUUGUUACCUUUUGGGCUUUCGAGUGAGUCAUGUCAACUUUUUCCAAGCUCUCGAUUUGCUGUAUGUAUGUAAAUGCAUACAUGUAAACAAUGACAUGAAAGGAGAAUAUUUGUUAGUCGUUAGGUCUGUGGAAACUCGCUAGCUCUCGUGAAACAAGAGGUGGAGCGUUAGCUAGCACGCCCACAAGCAGCACUCACUCGGCUGUCAAUCAAUGGAUUAUCAAGGAAAGCGUUUGAUUUGAACGUUGGUUUUUCUAUGUUUUGCCACGUCCAACCUUGAAGACUGGAGGCUCCACGUCGGCUGCCGGUCGUCCAUCUAUCUGCACAUCUCGAAAGAGUAAACAAUCACAACAAAGUAACAAGUUGAAUGGCAGUCUGCUUGUCGGCCGGUGGGACGAGUGGUCGGCCGGUGGGACGAGUGGUCGGCCGGUGGGACGAGUGGUCGGCCGGUGGGACGAGUGGUCGGCCGGUGGGACGAGUGGUCGGCCGGUGGGACGAGUGGUCGGCCGGUGGGACGAGUGGUCGGCCGGUGGGACGAGUGGUCGGCCGGUGGGACGAGUGGUCGGCCGGUGGGACGAGUGGUCGGCCGGUGGGACGAGUGGUACGCCAUGCGUGGACCUGAGACAAAAAGAGUUUGCGGGGGCUCUUCAGGCAGCACAGAUCCAGAUGAACGAGCUCAGAGGCUGAAGACAAAUUGUGGCAGGCUUUUCACUUUCUGGACCUGGAUUUGCCACCUCUGCCUGGAAAGAAAAAGGAACAUUGAUUGACACAAGGACUGCAUUUAAGUUUACUGCUUUUGUUUUUUACUGUAGAGUGGAAGCAGAGAGUUGCUGUUUCACAGGCAGAGUUCCUGAAAUGUAAAAAUUCUCCAGGAUGGAUACCUGCACACAACACAAACCAAUCAAGCUGCCAUUUAGUAUAUUUUAUUUGUGUGUCAACUCUGAAAAUGGAGACAACCUGGAAGUACCUCUGCAUGGCUUUAGAGGGCUUUUAUCUUUGGCCAGUAGGUAGCGGAUGUCCCAACUGCAUCUUUACUGGAAAGUGUUCUGCAGGAAGAGGGAGGCAUAAAAAGUAAAGCAGAUCUUCACCAUGCUACAGAAGCUAGGUCCUUUGGCACCACCUAGUGGAUUAAAGACAAAGAACAUGCUAAAAUGUUUGACAUGUGUCAAACAUUUGGACACGUGCGUGUUUCACCAGUGAUGAAUGGAGGGCAGCACCGGACGUCUCUCCAACUACAGCUCGCUGGUCUGAAAGACAAGUCAGCCUGUUCCCUCGGUGCCAGAUGCAGGCCUGCCUGGGGACAGAAAUGAGAAGACUAUUAACGCAGUGGAUUGAAAGAGUUGACUUUAAAACUCACAAAGUCAGUCGGCCAUGACGGGCUCGUUUUGAGGGUUUGCACCUGCAGACAGAAAGUCGAAUAUUAACACGAAUUCAUCGAAAUACCUGUUUCAGUAAUUCUCUGGUGGAUUCAUGCAAAUGCUGCUAUGUCUACUUACCUUCGGCCAAACGGCGCUGUCGUCCAGACGUUGCUAAAUGUUUGUGCAAAAAUAGAGUUAGUCAUCUUUCCACACGGUGCGUGCCUCAGUUUGCAAAAUGUGCAUGUACUCACCCACCGUUGCAUGCUUCAAUUGUUUGGUUGCACGCCAGAUAAAUGCUUUUUGGUGGUUGUUGGAGAUGUUAACUGCUAACGCUAGCUUCUGCAAACUUUUGAGCUUGCAAGAUGGAAGCACGCCCAAAGUGCAACUAGAGGCUGAAAGAGAGCAAAAGCAGUUAGUUUCAAAAGGUCUAACAAGAGUUGAACACCCACCUUGUCACUUUUACACGCUGUUGUACGGCCGGCGCAGCAGGUGGACCAGAGCAACGUGGCUCUCGCUGUCAGUGGUGAGUGUCAGAAUGAGCGUCGCGUUCAUGACGCCUUUUAUACUCUUUUUGUGAUGACGUCAUUAGAAGAAGAAAAAAAAGAAAAAAAACCUUUCAAACAGGCCCUAAUGCGAGAGAAAAACUGCCAAGACUAAUCUCUGGAGGGUUCGGGCCUCGAACCAGCACUGCAAAGUUCGGAGGCAAUGGUGUUAUCCCCUCGACCAUUGUAGCCUGGAUGUUGACCAAAGAAUUUUGUCUAUUGUUCCAGAUCAUGAGGAUAUCUGCAAUAAAGGUUCAGAAUAACCUUCAAUUACAACUACUUGACCGUCGAAUGUAAGAUCUCGAAUGGCCGAGUGGUUAUAGCUUUUCCCUGGAGUUUGGGAGAGGCGGGUUCGAUUCUUAUGUAUCGCUCUAUUUAAUUUGCAAAAGCUGCAAAGAGCAAGUCUCGAACCCGAGGCUGCUGGACACCAACCCAUGUCGUGAACCAUUCUGCCAUUUUGGCGUUGAUUUUCUAAGUUUUCUUAAUGUAUUUAUAGUAUACGUCUCACGUAAUGGAUAAAAUUACCAAAUCGUCCAGUUCGUGCAGAACACCAACUGGUGUAAUGGUUAACGCUUUUGCCUUCUGUUCGGGAGAACCGAGUUCGAGUCUCACACUGCGUAAACUUUAGCUCAAAGUCCGCUUCGUGUGGGGCACGAACCAUAGUCUCCCGAACACCGGGUAAAGUUAAAAACCAUUAUGCCAUUUUGCCAGCGAAACCCGGCACUUUUUUUUCGGAAGUGUACUGAAGAAUUGCAACUUAUUCAAACCUAAAUUACCAUUGCUGUAAUACUCAAUGGUGUAGUAGGAAAAGCCUUUGCCUUGUGUGCGGGAGAACAUGAUUCGAAUCUUACACAGAUUCAACUGUAGUCAAAGACUGGUUCGUGUGGGGCUCGAACCAUAGUCUCCCGAACACCGGGUAAAGUUAUAAACCAUUCUGCCACUUUGGCGGGGAAAUCCCGCUAGUUUUUCUUUGGUAGUGUAUUGAACAUAGAGGACGUUGUCACGAAAAGGAAAAAUUGACAUGUUCAUUUUACGCUGGGUUACAUACAAGUGAAUGGAGGCACUGCCAUCUUGCGGUAGCUUGGCGUCAUUACAUAAACCGCUUCAGAAACUAGAGUCAAACGCCUGUGUUUAAUAUUGUACGACGUACGUAUUCAUUUAAUUCUGCUUAUGUGAUGAUAUUUUAAAUGUACAAUUAAAUACUCAUAUGUUUAAGUUCUUAUAACCAUAUUGUAACUGAACUAAAAUGAUAUUGUCAUUAAAGAGAGAGCAAUGAUGAAAUGGAAA